CACGUAGGGCGCAAGCGUUGUCCGGAAUUAUUGGGCGUAAAGGGCGCGUAGGCGGCCUGGCAAGUGGAAGGUGAAAUCCCUCGGCUUAACCGAGGAACUGCCCUCCAAACUGCUUGGCUUGAGUCCGGGAGAGGUGAGUGGAAUUCCCAGUGUAGCGGUGAAAUGCGUAGAUAUUGGGAGGAACACCAGUGGCGAAGGCGGCUCACUGGACCGGAUCUGACGCUGAGGCGCGAAAGCGUGGGGAGCAAACGGG
rnacentral:rRNA from 1 species